GACAGAGGCCCCAAGCGUUAGGCGGAAUCACUGGGCUUAAAGCGUGUGUAGGCGGACGCCUAAGUGUCUUGUGAAAUCCCACGGCUCACCCGUGGAACUGCUGGGCAUACUGGGCGUCUUGGGCCAACUAGGGGCAGCCGGAACAAGCGGUGGAGCGGUGAAAUGCGUAGAUAUCAGGAGGAACACCGAUGGCGAAGGCGGGUCUCUGGGCCGAUACUGACGCUGAGGAGCGAAAGCGUGGGGAGCGAACAGG
rnacentral:rRNA from 1 species